rnacentral:lncRNA from 1 species
AGAGUUCGGAGGGAGCUCACAGGUUCCCAAAGCAGUCACACACUAAAGGGGUAGAACCUAGACUUCUAAGAGUAUGAAAGAGUACUUGAUAUAGUUUUAAAGGAAUUGAGUUGAAAAAAACAGCUUGAAAAUGAUCCAUCGAGAAUCAGUUCUUGAAAGAAAACAAUAUAAGAGUUUAACAGUUUUAGAAGAAGGUGAGUAG